AUGCCUUUUGUAGAAGGCAUACCAACUCAGCCAGAAGGACCUAGAGUGGGUAGAGGAAAUGUCUUCCUCCCCUACAAGAACAUACAUGAAGAUGAAGGCUUGGGAAGUAAGGGCAUAAGAUGCAAACUUGGUGGCUCCUGGUACUGUCUCAGAGAGCGUGUUUUGCACUUGGGAACAUCACAAAGCCUUGAUACGGAAAGCACCGCAAGAUGCCAGAUCAGAUGCUCUGAUAGUAUCACCCUCAAGCGCCACCUUCAGGCCGUUCCUCAGGACUGCGGUGGAAAUUUCCAGCCAUCUCAGCCUUGCAUAUUGUACAAGAACUUUCCAAGAAACACUUGUAUUUUUGGCGACUGCUUUUCACCGGAGAUUUGAUUAUUUUAUAAUGACCAAAUAGUAGAGGGGCCUUUCUUUUUUUUUUUUUAAAGGGGGCUUUCUAAUGUUUAUCCUGGGAGCCCCAAAUGGAAAAAUCAGUGGACUGAAGACUCAAUUCAGUUGAAAAACUGGUUCGAUUCAUUAGUCACUGAGGUGAUUGGCUAGAUGAAUAGAAUUUCUUAGAUAUUUAACCAAAAUCCAAGACAAUCCGGAUUCCUUAUUUUAGCUAAUAAUUUCAAUAACUUUCCAAACUUCAAAGCUGGCUUUUCUCUCCAGUUUUAUUUUUUUAAACCAGAAGCUGGCAAUUAAGUAUCUAGAUAAUAUUCCUCUUCAUUUUCAUGUAGGGAUUCUGAUGAACAAGAAAAAGAGAAAAAAAGUCAAACUAAUAUGUCAUGACAUUCACCAACUACCUCUCAUUAGUUGAAAACUGUUUCGGAAUCCAAUGCUAUGAUCCGAGUCCCCUCCCAGCUGUCCCUUGGCCUCUCAUUCUUCACUCCUACUGGCUGCAUUAGAGAUGGACUUGGCUCUUGGCUUUCAGCUCUGCCACUUUCUGAAUGACCAUAUCAUUGAGGAUGCUCUCAGCUGCAAGCAACGAAAAACGCAAUGGAACCUGGCCAACUCAACCUUUCUUAACUCCCUUAAACAGAAGGUCCAGGGAGAGGGCUGUGCCCGGGUUGGGUAAUUCAUUUGCUCAAUAACAUCUCAAGGAUCCAGGCUUUCCUCCUCUUUUUUCUCUGACAACGUUAAUAUACUGGCUUUUGUCCUUAAGAUCGAGUCCACAGUUCCAGGCAUCACUCUUGGGGCAGCAUAGGCUGUUCCAUCAGUACAAUAACAUGCGUUUUGAAAAGAAAGGAAGCCCGUUUUCUUAGAAACCCCCAGAACACUCUCCCUUCACGCUGGUGAGAAUGGAAAUUACCAUUUGUCGUUUAGGUGUGUGAUUCCUAGCCCUGGUUGCACAUUAGAAUCACCCGGGAGCUUUGUAAAACCGCUAAGGCCUAUA
rnacentral:lncRNA from 1 species